GCCUAUCUAGCCCACUUGGUGGAGCACAAGGCUUCUAACCUUGUGAUCAUGGGUUCAAACCCCACUAUUUGCA
rfam:Zea mays cultivar B73 chromosome 4, whole genome shotgun sequence.